GGAUCUUCUUUUGGAGGGGCCUCUUUUUUCAACACCGAUUUCAUCUUCUUAUAUUUCACAAGAUUUAUAGAUGUAUGAAAUUGUUAUAGUUCUCUGAUUUCAAAUGAAAAUGAUGAUCUAUACGCUGAGCUUUGGCAUGCAUCACGGCGGGGCCCAACCUAAUGUGUAUAUUAAAAAUUUUCAAUUAUGGGAGGCAGAAGAAUUGACAUGUGCUUUAUGGGAGGCAGAAGAAUUGACAAAUAUCCAUUGUGUGGCAUCUGAAGGUAUGGGAUCAGAUUCAUCAAGCAAGUUAAUAUGUUGAUGUUGAUAUAAUAGACAGGAGGAUCCAAAAGAAGGACAUCUGAGCGAUGCAUAAGGUGGGAUUCACUAUGACAAUCACUUGCUGCAAAAAACAGGUGGCCUUCAUCUUAUGCAUAACCUGAUGUGUCAUACACAUGACGCGAACAUGGUUUCAUCUGAAGUUCACAUGCAACUGGUUGUAGGUGAUCAUUCCUACUAGUAUUGAAUUGAAUUGAUCGUAAUGAUGGUUGUCUUUGAAUAAUCCCAGAAAGUUCUGCGCAAGAACUUUCUCAGAUGUUUGUCCAAGAGCUGGCUUUGAAGGUUUUCAAGUGAGAUGAAUGAGUUUCAAAACAAAACAGUCUGCAGUUUUGAGAAGCGAUUCCCAGGAUGCAUGUGUGUUUCAGGGGCCAUCUACACCUUGGAAGCAUACAAU